rnacentral:lncRNA from 1 species
UGAUGAGAUGGUGCUGUGUGCUGCUCUCCUUCAUCUCUCCAGCAAACACAAUGUACUGACUCUAAAACAGUUACUUGGAUGGAGGAGGAGAAGCAGUGGCUAUGGCAAACUUGGAAUAGGAGAAGGUGGGUCCUAGUCUGGGCCCAGCGACCUCUAACUCUGUGAUGACCCUGGAUUUUCAGACCCAAGUGACUUGCCCAUGGCCACAGAAGAACUGGUGGCAGAUCUGCUUCCUAUCUGUAGCUCUUUCCACUGCUCACAUGGCCACUUGUGUUCAGCAGCUGGUGACUAGACCAGCUCUCAGUUGGCAGCAGCAUAGCAAAUACAGACUCCUGUGGACAUCUAGUAAUGCUGUGAUAUGGAUGAUUGAGCCCACUCUGUGCUAUGCACAUUACCUACAUCAGCUCAGUAAUUUUAAAAUUCAAAGCCUAUGACAGGUGUGUUUUCCUAGGUUCAAUAUAAAUAUGUGGGAAGUAGAGCUGAGAGGGUGAUUUGCCUGAAGUCACAGGUUUAAAAUUUGACAAGACAUCCAGGACUAGCAUCAAAGACCCUUAAGUUCAAGUCAUUCAUCAAGGGGGACUGCCUUUGGUUUCUGCUCUUGGCUCAAACUAACUGAGAUAUUAGUACUUCUACAGCCUCCCCAUCUACCUGCCUCCAGAUAUAGCCGAACCCAAGGUGCAGAAUCUAUUCACCUAACCAUUGCACCAUACUGCCCUGCUAGGGAGGAGUAUGUUGGGCCAUGGACUCUGACUCAGAAUUAUGGAAAUAUUCCAUAAAGAUAGUUUUUUAAUAAUCUCAGCAUUCCUGAUUAGAAAACCAGUUGGCCAACAGGGCACCCUUCUAGGGAGCCGUGGCUGUCCUUGGUACACUGGGAAAGGGUCCUGGAGACAAAGCCCAGUUCUCCUCUAUGCCCUCCAGCUUCUGAGAAAGGGUUUCUUCUCCUUCUGCAGUGUUUAUAGGCAGGCUAUACACUGGAUCUGGCCAGUGGGUGACCUCCCUCACAGUGAGAGUUUGUCUAGAAGCCUCCAAAGAGGGAAAAAAAAGAAACCUUUGUAAUCACUCUCGGGCUCCAGCUGCUAAAGCAGACAAGAAAGCAGCCCCAAGAUCCUGGAAACUCUUGCCCAAAGGAGA